rnacentral:tRNA from 1 species
AAGAAUUUAGUUUAAAUUAAAACAUUAAUUUGUCAAAUUAAAAUUAUUAAAUUAAUAAUUCUUU